rnacentral:rRNA from 1 species
CGGGGUGCAGCAGGCGCGAAAACUUUACAAUGCGGGAAACCGUGAUAAGGGGACACCGAGUGCCAGCAUCAUAUGCUGGCUGUCCAGGUGUGCAAAAUACACCUGUUAGCAAGGGCCGGGCAAGACCGGUGCCAGCCGCCGCGGUAACACCGGCGGCCCGAGUGGUGAUCGUGAUUAUUGGGUCUAAAGGGUCCGUAGCCGGUUUGGUCAGUCCUCCGGGAAAUCUGACAGCUUAACUGUUAGGCUUUCGGAGGAUACUGCCAGACUUGGAACCGGGAGAGGUAAGAGGUACUACAGGGGUAGGAGUGAAAUCUUGUAAUCCCUGUGGGACCACCUGUGGCGAAGGCGUCUUACCAGAACGGGUUCGACGGUGAGGGACGAAAGCUGGGGGCACGAACCGGAUUAGAUACCCGGGUAGUCCCAGCCGUAAACGAUGCUCGCUAGGUGUCAGGCAUGGCGCGACCGUGUCUGGUGCCGCAGGGAAGCCGUGAAGCGAGCCACCUGGGAAGUACGGCCGCAAGGCUGAAACUUAAAGGAAUUGGCGGG